GACGAACGCUGGCGGCGUGCCUAAUACAUGCAAGUCGAACGCAAAACUUUCACCGAAUGCUUGCAUUCACGAAAGUUUUGAGUGGCGAACGGGUGAGUAACACGUGGGUAACCUGCCCAGCAGAGGGGGAUAACACUUGGAAACAGGUGCUAAUACCGCAUAAUAACAAAAACCGCAUGGUUUUUGUUUGAAGGAUGGUUUUGCUAUCACUUCUGGAUGGACCCGCGGCGUAUUAGCUAGUUGGUAAGGUAAAGGCUUACCAAGGCAAUGAUGAGUAGCCGAACUGAGAGGUUGAUCGGCCACAUUGGGACUGAGACACGGCCCAAACUCCUACGGGAGGCAGCAGUAGGGAAUCUUCCACAAUGGACGAAAGUCUGAUGGAGCAACGCCGCGUGAGUGAAGAAGGUUUUCGGAUCGUAAAACUCUGUUGUUAGAGAAGAACGUGUGUGAGAGUAACUGCUCAUGCAGUGACAGUAUCUAACCAGAAAGCCACGGCUAACUACGUGCCAGCCGCCGCCGUAA
rnacentral:rRNA from 1 species